AUCUACUGUUAGCCCAUUUCCUCUGUUCACACAGACUUUGGAAAGGGUUGCCACAUCUCUGAAUAAAUUGGAUCUGAAGCUUUCAGGAACAUACUGUGUCUAACUAUAGAAGGUGUUUCAUCACAGUGACAGAAAAUGAACAAAGACCGAUGGGCAAUGUGGCUGUAGCUCAAACAGGAUGUGGCACAGAGUUUGACGGCUGACAUUCCACAUUUUAUGGACAUUCACAUAUCCGAGAAUCUACCACUCACUAGAGGAUAUUUCUUAAUGUUGGUAUUUUAUUUUUGAGAAUUACUAAGACUGGGAACACAUUAGUACCUCUGAAAAUCCCAAUCGUAAAGUAGUUUCCAGAAGAAAAUGAAAGUCAUCAUUAAAGAAAAUAGUUCUGAGCAUAAUGCCUCUGUCAUGUAGGAAUAAAGAUGCAGCAAGCAGAGGAUACUUUUUUGAUAAUAAAAAUACUUCUAAAAACCAAACAUUUCUGAUUAUGAUGAGAAAAUAUUCUCUGGAUAGUUAGUCUUUCAUUUUUAAAUAGCUUUCAAGAAAAUAAAAGCUUCUCCUGACUCAAAA